UCCUGGUCUAAGUGAAUGAGACCGAAGUGGCACUUCGGAACAGUGCUUUGGAAGUUGGAGAAACUGGUGCUCCAUGCAUUCUUUAUGUGUGUGAUAGGAAUUGCCUAAAUUUCAACUGCAAGAAGUAAUGCUAAGGUUACCCAGUCAUAUCUACCCAGACCUCAUUUACUUCGAUUUCUUGCAGAACUGCUGCCACUGAACUCAUCUGGAUUUCACCAAAGUAAAAUGACUGAUCAUUUCCUAGUAGAUACAUCUCUCUAGAAAUUCUCAGAGAAUUUUUGCAAUAUGAAUAUGGUUAAAAGGCUUUUUGCAUACAGCACUGCGAAAAAUGGAGGAAAAGGAUUUGUCAG